CUUCUGAAUCAUUGCUAGAGUUGAAAAGACCUCCCUCUUUGGCCAACUAUGCUUUGAGAGGAAAACUUGCUGGAAAACAUUAGAACCACACACUGGUAGUUUAUUUACCCAAUGCUAAACCGCUUGUUUGACAUUUUACUCUAAACUGACCAAUGAUUUGAGUAUUGUGUAGACAACCACAGAGAACAACUAAAACAGUGGGAAAGUAUUAUUUUAGAAGUACUUACUGUUUUAUUAACACUUAGAGGGGAGAAUUCCCUGCUUCUACUCAGAUUCGGUUCUUCAUGUUCCAAUGUGAAGUAGGUUGCCCAAUUGUCAAAUUUGUCAAUAUAGUUUUUAGUCCUGCAGCCCAUCAUUAGAUGACAGAAAAACAUCAUGUUGUGGCAAAGAAUCAGUAGGUAGUAAUCAAAUGUCCCAUGAUGUUGACAUUUCCCAACCCUCCAUAGAUUUUUUUUUUUAAAGGGAGAAUCCUAGAAGUAUCAGUGGACAGACUAGCAGGCCUGUGAAGGACCAGCUCUCUGGAGAUAAUGACACAUUUUGUCCUGAUAAUCUUCAGAUGUUAAUACCUUAAAAGUUACUCAGUUGAAGUUGCUUUCAAAUUAAACACCAUUGCUAUAGUGUUUCUGUUGUGAUUGUCGGAGGGAAGUGGAGCCAGUGCAAUUUGUCCGUGUUUUACAAAUCACCAUCUGGCAGGGAUAUGGCAACAUGUGAAAUCUUCACAGGACUCUUGUUUUUCUACUAUCUGCUGGAUAACUAAGGAGAUCACCAGACUGCUGGGAUGCCUGCCAGAUGGUAAGCAGGGAGAGAGACAGACAGCGAGCAGGGGAGAGGCGGAGAGAGAGAGAGGGAGACACAGAAUAAAAAGCAGGCUCCAGGCUCAGAGCUGUCAGCACAGAGCCCGAUGCAGGGCUUGAACCCAUGAACCACGACAUCGUGACCUGAGCCGAAGUCGGAGGCUCAACCGACUGAGCCACCCAGGCGCCCCAGGUUUUCCUAUUUUAUACCAUGUAAGACUUAAAUGGAAAAUGAAAAAUACAGUUGUUGAACUAUUCUUUCAACAGGCAAGAGUGUCCGUUAAAAAUCCCAUCCUUUCACAUCAGAGGGCUCUGAUCUGAGUCUACUGUACUGCAGAAGAAAUGGGGGAGAAAAAAGGCUUUAAUUUAUAAAGUGGUUGCUGUAAAACUGUAGACAGAUACAUAGGAGAGAGAGCCAUAAUCCAAAGCAGCCCACCUGAAUUUGAGAAACUUUUUUUUUACUAUUUUAAUUAAGAAAAUUAUACUUUAAAAGGUAUGGCGGAAACCACAAUUAAGAAAGAAAAAAAAAUGGUUGAAAUAAGCAAAUUCAAAGUUUGAAUGUUCCUCAGCUAAAAUCAAACUGAAAGAAAUCACAAGCUCUCAUGGCUUGAGUUUUGUUUGUUUGUUUGUUUGACUUUUGCUAGACUGUUUAAUUCGUGAAUAUUUUUCAAAGGAGCCGAGGAGGCCAAAAUAAAAUUACACUAAUGUACAAUUCAGUACAAAGGAAAUACUCAGAAUGCACAAAUGCCCGCACACAAAGGCAAGAUACUACUUCCUUUUACAUAUAUGUCAGAUAUACUUUAGCAAAUCAAAAGAAAUGAAGAUAACAAGGGGAGAGGAAAAUAUGGAGAUAGCUGAUAAUUAGAUGUGGAUUAAGGCAGUAAGGAAAGUGGGGACAAAGAUUACUGCAACUGGAAAACGCAAAUGGUCCUUUCUCCCCAAUGGUUGCAUUUAAAUCCAACUUCUAGAGUGUGGGAGUGUUUAGGGUUUUUUUGUGCCUUUUUUUUUGCCUUUUUUUUUAUAGCCCUUCUCCAACAUGUGUGGCAUCUAGCAUCUGGGUUUGGGUGGCUUAUUAUUAUCUUUCUAAACAUAUAGUUUGAUAUUCCUUUAAUUAAAUGGUGACCAUCACCCAAAACAACUUUUCUGGAGAAGGACCUUGCAAACCCACAAAACCCAGGAAUGGGUUUGUUGAACCUGCAGGCAGUUUUGUUUAAGUGAGCAUUAAAGACUUGGCAAGCCCUCUGUGUUCUCAUUUUCUUAUUCUCUAUUAUCUAUCCACUUAAUAAUUUCUGAAACCUUAAUCAGACUCUAACCAAAAAAAUCCACACAGUGCUUGGGAUAGAAUGAUAAUACCAUCUGUUUUCAUUCUUAUGUGGGUUCUUUCCAGCCGUACAAUCCAGCAUGCUGGCUGCUUACUUUAUAAUGAUCCUAACAUUAUAGGUGAUUUAAAGUAAAGUCUCCUGUGUCAUUUGCCUCUUGCAAAUGCACACAAUCUUUUCAAUUCACAAAAGUCUGGCAUAUUUUCCUAUAAAUGUUGGUUGCAUUUGAAUUCUGUAGAUAAAUAGGAUCAAUCCCAACACUUUUACAAAAAGAAAAAAAUCCAGAGCUAUUUCUUGCUUUUUUGGGUAAUGGCUGGUAAGACGGAAAGUUCUUCUAAAAGAAUUUAUUUGCCAUUUGACUUCUAAUUCUCUUAAAGUCUAGAUGGCAAUUUUAAAAAUAAAAUAGCUAAGCCAUCCCUAAACAUAGAACUAACUUACUGAGCACCUUUAUACAAUGACUUUUCAAAUGUGCAGCCUUUACCAUGUUCAUUAAGAAUUAGAUUCCAGCAUCAUUAUUAAAGGAUAAUAAAUAGAGAUGCUGGUAUCGUUUCCUUCUAGUCGUGGCAACAAGUAAGAAUUCAGAGCAAAGGUCAAAUGCUUUUAAACUCUUUGGUACAGGAAAAAUCAGCCAACGAUAUGGAAAAAUACACUCCAAAUAAUUCAUUUUUGCAGAUUUUAACAAUCAAUAUGGAGCACCAUAUGAUAGAUAUAGCUCCAACAAUCUGUAUCAAUCAUGAAGAUUGGCAGUGGCAAACCACACAGACCAAUUUUUGUCAUGCUACCACAGUCGAUUUUACAGACUCUGUGUAACCAAGACUUUCUCUGGUGCUUUCCCUGACACACCACACAGCCCCUUCCAAGAUCUGCUUCCAACACAUUCAAGGGCUUUUCUGAACCAAACCUCACUGAAAACCUUUGGAGACUGGCACACAAUUCUUACGAUACUCCAUGUUUUCCUUCCAAAGCCUGCAUCUUUAAUACAUUAUAUUGGGUUUUUCCCAUCACACAUUUAAUGUGUGAAAUUUCUAAACUCUUCCCCUUCACUUAUCUAAAUUGAACUUUGGCAGCCAACAGUUAACUGUUGGAGACUUGCUUCAAAACGAUCAAACCCUUUUCUAGAUCUGAUUGCAAGAAGUCUCAGUGCCAAGAUAGAAAUUUCAGUCUUCAUCAUACACAAAAUCAGUAUGUAUGCUUUGCUCUGGAAAGAAAGCCACCUUGAAAAUAAUUAAUAAAACAUCAAAGCUACAUACUACUUCAAAAAUCCACAUGAGACUGAAACAUUCGAGGCAAUUAAAAAAAUUAUUAAUUUAUAUAAGGUGGUACUUUUCUUUGUGUGUGUGUGUGUGUGUGUGUGUGUGUGUGUGUGUAUAUAUAUAUAUAUAUAUAUAUAUAUAUAUAUAUAUAUAUAUAUAUAUAUCUCCACACUGAAAUCUCAGUUUUGGCUUCAAAAUGGCAAUUUAAAAUCUUAACAACAUACCCAUAGCAAUUAUGAAUGUUACAUUAAAUACAUAAGCUUUGAAAAACCAUAAGAAUAAUUUGAAAAUACUUAAAUAAUAUCAAAAGCUACGGAGAAAUGCAAACUACAUUUUACUGAAACACAAUGCAUAGGCAUAUUAUUAGAAUUUGGAAAAAAGGCAUAAAUUUUAUAUUACAGUAUGUACGUAAGUGAAAGGAGACCUCCAUAAAACACAUGCCAACAAAACAAAUCUCAUGUAUCAGCUGCAUUUUAGUGUCCUACAGAGUUAACUUUAGUUAACUUUAUUUAUUCUUAUAUGCGCCUUGCUUAGUGGUAGAUAUUUUAAAAACAGGUUUAAAAAAAAAAGGUGACUCAGAAGCACACUAGAUAUGGAAGACACAGGGAGGGGUGGUGGUGGUGGGAGAGCAAGAAAGAGAGAGGGAGACAGAGAGGGAGAGGGAGAGAGAAUGAAUCACAUAUUAGGGAGGUGCCUGAGAAAAGGAAAGCUUGAUAGAAGAGAUGAUAUUUCUCUUGGCUUUUGAAGAUGAGCCAGUUGUUCAAGGCUGUGAACGGAAGGGUGCACGUCCUGGACCAGGGUGAAUAACUGCAUAAAGAGGAAGAUGGAAAGCUCUGUUUGGGACUAUGGAUUGUGUGUUGAAACUUCCAGUGUUUGAAGAUCUGCUUCUUUGCCCUUUGAACCCUGAGCAAGGAACCUUUCCAAGCAGUGUGAACUCACUGGCUUCCCCAUAACGCUACAGAGCUCACGCUGCCAUAUAACUGGGAAUCGGAGAGGGCUGCUCCUUUUUGAACGAAGAAAAAAAGAAAAAAAAGAUGUAUCCAGAGCAUCGUCCUCCAAACAAACAAGAGGAGCACAUAUUUGCAAGCUAUAUAGUAAAGUUGUUGCAAUGAAGAUUUUGAUUUUAAUUAAGAAUGGGAUUUGUAGGACAAUUAGUGAGAUGUAAUAUUCUUUGCAAGAAACAGUACCCUUAUUGGAAAUACCACCUAAAAUGGAGUGGGGGCAUUUGGAGCUGCACAGAGACUUAUAUCUAUGGGUUUCUACAGUUAAUGAGAAAGAAAAAUACAAGAAAAAUGUAGGUACCUCACCUGAAAUGCAGGAAUACAAAUACCGUUUGCCUGGUUUUUUUUCCCCUCCUUAAUUUUUCUUUUUAAUUUAAACCAUAGAAAUCUGUGCUGUUGAGAUUUCAACCAGGUAAUCAUCUUAUCAUUAAUACAUUUAUGUUAUUUCUUCACAUUGACUUUAAACCACUGAUCAUUAGGAGUAUACCUCAUCUUUUUUGAUGAUUUUACAAGGACAUAAUAAUAUACUUAAUUGUAAUAAAGGCAAUGAACUCUCCAGUUAUUUUUGGUAUGCUCAGCUGUCCUGACAUUAAAAAGAGGGCUUUUUCUUACAGUAUAGAAAAUAAUUUGUGUAAUUGCUUAAAUGUUGGAAUGACCAUUUCCUUUACAGUACAUAAAUUUUCAUGUGUUAUAAAAACUAACAAUGUAUUUAUUAAUCAAAUGCCUGAUAAUUUCCCAUGUCUAUUCAAUUAAUUUCGUAACAAAAUUUUCAUUUUUCCUUUAUAAGCAAUAAGAUUAAACAUUACCAAGUGAGUUAAGGGAUCUCCUUUCUCUAGCAGAUGGAAAAGAUACUAACAGUGAGUAUGUCACCAGAUAUUAUGCUGUCAAUAAUAAAGGCCAAAUACAUAUAAUCACAUAUAUGUCAUUUUAAGCAGUGUAGUAAGCCCAAAACUCUUCACUAUUUAUUCUAUAGUAUUAAGCAUAUUCUAUCUGCCAGGCAUUACACCAAACAAUGGUAGAGUACAAUAUACAACGAGGAUAUCUUAAUGCAGUUUAUCAUAUGCUGGAAUGACAUACAUGUAAACCACUAUAAUCAGUCACACUGUGUGAAGGGCAGUAGAUACACAAAAAGGUAUAAGAUUUCUUUCAUUGUACAAAUUGAAAGUGCAAAUUCCCCACUAUGGCAGGCAGGCUGGAUAGAAUCUAUGGUAGCUUUUGAAUUCCCACCUGAAAAGCAACAUGGGAAGUAUAUUAGGGUUGAGAAUGAGAUGUAUAGAAUUUAACUUGGGGAAGGGGUAAAAAAGAACACUAAAGGGAACAGAAACAUAUGGAUUAUAUAAGGAAUAUUUAGUGGCCCAUUAUUUGGUGAUGCUAUUUAUAUGGGAUUAGGGCAAGGCAGGUCUGGAAGUUCAGAUUGAGGCCAUAGUGUAGCUGGUGGCCCUUAAGUGCUAUCCUCAACUGCAAUUGAUUGGUGUAGGAAGAGAUGGGGAGCUGGAAAAGGACUUCCAAGGCUACUUGAGGAUUUCAAAUGAGAAGGGAUGAGAGAAUGGGUUUUUUUCUGUGCCAAAGGAAAGGAGAAGAUGCAUGAAACAGAAAAAAAAAAAAAAUAUGUGCUUUGGAAACCAGAUAUGGUGGCUGAGAAGAGGAAAGGAGCCAAUGUGAUCACAAAGGUCUUACACCAGGCUGGCUGGAUCUAUAAAUGGUUCAACCAUGUGAAAUUGCCAACUCAAUACAUCCUUCAAAUAAUAUUUGAAGAAAGGCAGUAGAGAGGGAAGAAAGCUCCAAGGAGAAAAAUGUGGUCUCUGUCUAGAUUCAAGAAACAAAAGGAUGAAGUAGAGUCAGUAAAAUGGUUACAUGAAAGUCUCCUGCAGAGCUAGAAUUCACAUUAAGAAUACUUAAUUUCCUUAGUAUAACUGAAAACAUGGGAGAGUUGUUUUUCCCUCCAGUGUUAGCUUCAAAAUAUAACAGAUUUCAUAUUUUGUAUAACUUUCCAAAACCUAAAAUUCCUGAUUCAUCAUUUUGCUCCUUUACUGUCCUUUAAUUAAAGCCCUCUGUGUGGCAUUUUUAAAAUGAAAUUUCAGUUUAAAAAUAUGUCUUCGUACACUUUACUUCAGAAUACAGUAAAAUAUAAACAUAACACUUCACCAAUUCAAGCACACAACCAACCUACCAGUUACGAUAACUUUGUAGUUAUUAUCAAUUAUCUUCAAUUUCAAAAAAUGGUUUUCCUCAUGCAAUUUUGAAUCAUAUUUUACCUUCGAUUUAAUUCUAUAACUUCAGUGGAAAUUCAAAAGGUGUGUAUUGUCCUUUAAUAGCUGUCCCAUUAUAAGAAAUGCUAAAUUUUAACUAGGCUGUCUUGCUCCUGAUUAAUAAGCUUUGUAAAAUAUCAAUAAUGUUAAAUGGAGCUUCAGUAUAAUCAUUUGGAUAUUUCCUUUAUUCACUCUUUUUUUUAAUUUUAAAAAGUUUUUUUAAGGUUAUUCAUUUUUGAGAGAGAGAGAGAGCAUGAGUCAGGGAGGGGCAGAGAGACAGAGAGAGAGAGAGAGAGAGAGAGAGACAGAAUCUGAAAUAGGCUCCAGGCUCUGAGCUGUCAGCACAGGGCCUGAUGCAGGGCUCAAACCCAUGAACCAUGAGAUCAUGACCUGAGGUGACUGAGCCACCCGGGCACCCCUCCUUUAUUCACUAACUACCUUGUGGAGAAAGUGUCAAUAUCACACUUUCAUAAGGAUUAUGUGGAAGACAGGCUGACCUCAAAAUUCCCAAAGACCACCUGAAAAUGGAGGGUAUGUGUUCUUACAGGGUGACAAUAAAGACAGCUGACCCACAGAGCCACCACAUUCCAACCCAGUACCUUUGUUCAAAAUAAAAGGACCCAUCCUUCGGACUGACCUUUCCCAGCAGACAAGAACUUAGCCAGAAAGAGGUGCAAGAGGUGAAUGUCAGCUCUGUUCACCCCUAUUCAUCUCCUCAACUGGGCUCCUUUGGGCCAUGGGAAAACUGCACAGCUGAGUCUGGGGCUCCAGCCUACCACAUGCCAGGAAUUCUGUUCUAUGCAUUCCAUAUACAUUAUCUCCAUUAAUUCUCAAAAUAGCUCUGAGCUGCAAUAAUUGUGCCCAUUUCUGAGGUUAGCUAACUUGCCUAAGAUCACAGUUUGUGGCAGCAUUCAAGUUGUUGGAUUAGCAUUCUGACCUCAAAGACCUCAUUCUUAUCCACAAUGAAUUAUUGCCAGUACCAUUAUGUUAAACAAAUAUUUAAUUUCGUGCUUUUACAUAACUAUGCUUUGUUAAUUAUUUGGCUAUCAUAUACACAUAUAUUAGUAGUCAUGGGCUGAUUAAGUCCCACAUUUACAACAUAACAGUUUCCUUGGGUGACAACUUCCUAAUAAAUGGAGGGAGGUAUAUCUAAAAGAUAUUCCACCAAGGGUUUCAAAUUUUGUCAGCUGAAAAAAGAAAAACUUUUCCAUUUUGGAAAAAAAAAACUUGUCAUUAACAGAAAAGAAAAACUACUAUUAAUUUUUGGCAAAGAAAUUACAAACUACUAUUAAUGGGACAAAGAAAUUAACUCUAAAAGUAUCUCUCCCUUUAAUGCCCUCUUCAAAAUAAAAGCUUAUUCAGCACACUCAAAUUAGUAAAAAGAAAAAAAUCCCCCAAAUUAAGAUAAACAGUAUAAGUUAUCCACACAGACAAGCGAGCCUAUGCUUAAAAACAAAACAAACAAAAAAUCAAAUUACUCUAAUAAUAUUUUACUUGGUAAUAAAAUAGUUCUUAAAGCAUUUCUCAACUCAAACUAGUUUUGCCAAAUCAAAAAUUUUCUUUUGGGUAGUUAAGAAGGCCAAGAGUAUACCAAAUGAUUUAAAAACCAUUUUCCCUAUUACCAUCCAUUUUCCCAAAGGCAGCAUUGGCAAACAAUUUGGUUGUUAAGGGAGAGAAAACAUUGUACAUUUUUUUUUCAUUGUCAAAAUAAACCUUAGUUAAGAAACUGCUGGUUGCAAAUAAUUUAAAACCUCUCAAGUAUUGGGUAAAAUCAGUAUAUACUGCAGGCUACAUAACCUUAGAAUGUUUUCCCCUUAAGACAUGAUUCAAGAAACAAUGGAGAGUGCGUGCUAAUUCCCCCAAUACCUGCAUAAAUGUCACAAGAACAGAAAAUCCAUUUGCUUGUUUUUAAAGUAAUCUUAAACUCACAGACUUUGGAUUAUAGAAUUUCACAAACAAGAAGUGGAUGUGGGGGGGGGGAGGGAGAGAGGGAGGGGAAAGGAGGAGGAAGAGUAAACUGCCAUACCUUAGGAAAAUUUAGUUUCAAAAUAUAUUAAUGGAGCUAGAGGGCAGGAGAAAACUUCAGAAAUGAUUUCCCAGGGACUGAUGUUUCACCCAUGAAAUCAAACUUUAAAAAUGAUGUUAUUAUUUCAUUUCUAGUGACUAUAGUUCUCUCCAUGGAGUCUGAGGGGCCUAAGAAGCCCAGGAGAGUCAAAACAUUCAGGAAAACAGUUCUGGUUUUGUUUUUUGUUUUUUGUUUUUCCUUUUAAAUUAGUCACUAUAUACAAAUCCACUGAGGGUGGUGAGGAUUUUCAAACUCAGUGAACACAUGACUAUAAAAUACAAAUAUCCAAGGUUUAGAAUGUUAUAUUCAUUCAUUCAAUGAAUCAUUAUUUUUGUCCCAGCAAUAUUUCAAGAACACUUUCAAAGUGCCAAAGACAGGGUUCCAAGAUCUUUAAACAAAAAUGACAUAUAAAUAUCAUGUUUUCACAAAAUUUAGAAUGACCUGUUUUCUUAAUUAUUUAAAUAUAUAUUUAAUUAACUUAGUACCAACGGCUCCUACAUAUGUUUCUACAUAUUGGACACUGCCCAGGCAGCUACAGUACAACCACAUGUUUAAAGAACUACCAAGUGCAUUCUCUCUCUUUCUCUCUUUCUCCCUCCCUCCCCACAAUGUACAUAAUGUAUAUCUAUCAAUAUCUAUAUGUAUAUAUAUGCACAUAUAUAUUAGAUUGUUUUUAUUGCAUAAUCAUUAGCAAUAAUAAUUAUUGUUCCAUAAAUUACCAGAAUAUUAAUCAUAAUUAUGAGUGAAAUGCAUUGAUAAGACAAAAGGUUGUAACGACAAAUUUUCAAAGACAGAUGCUGUGGUUUAAUUGUGAUGCCCUCCUUAUGCACAUAUUUAAACAGUAAUAUGAAGCAAUAAAUAUUCCUUAUCUUUA